rnacentral:rRNA from 1 species
GCUCAGGUGCGAAAGCGUGGGGAGCAAACAGGAUUAGAUACCCUGGUAGUCCACGCCGUAAACGAUGUCGAUUUGGAGGUUGUGCCCUUGAGGCGUGGCUUCCGGAGCUAACGCGUUAAAUCGACCGCCUGGGGAGUACGGCCGCAAGGUUAAAACUCAAAUGAAUUGACGGGGGCCCGCACAAGCGGUGGAGCAUGUGGUUUAAUUCGAUGCAACGCGAAGAACCUUACCUGGUCUUGACAUCCACAGAACUUUCCAGAGAUGGAUUGGUGCCUUCGGGAACUGUGAGACAGGUGCUGCAUGGCUGUCGUCAGCUCGUGUUGUGAAAUGUUGGGUUAAGUCCCGCAACGAGCGCAACCCUUAUCCUUUGUUGCCAGCGGUCCGGCCGGGAACUCAAAGGAGACUGCCAGUGAUAAACUGGAGGAAGGUGGGGAUGACGUCAAGUCAUCAUGGCCCUUACGACCAGGGCUACACACGUGCUACAAUGGCAUAUACAAAGAGAAGCGACCUCGCGAGAGCAAGCGGACCUCAUAAAGUAUGUCGUAGUCCGGAUUGGAGUCUGCAACUCGACUCCAUGAAGUCGGAAUCGCUAGUAAUCGUAGAUCAGAAUGCUACGGUGAAUACGUUCCCGGGCCUUGUACACACCGCCCGUCACACCAUGGGAGUGGGUUGCAAAAGAAGUAGGUAGCUUAACCUUCGGGAGGGCGCUUACCACUUUGUGAUUCAUGACUGGGGUGAAGUCGUAACAAGGUAACCGUAGGGGAACCUGCGGUUGGAUCACCUCCUUA